CAGGUGAGUUUAUGUAUUUUAUUAAUUUGUGUUACAUUCUAUGAUGUGGCAAACCUUCAAUACACCACCCGCAAUAUACUGCUCAGUCACUGAAACAUUGCAUGAUAUUUCAGAUCAUUUUGUCAGAAGACUUCCUCUCGCACACAUGUUCUGGGGAACAUCUAUGAUAAUUUAUUUAGAAGAUCAAAAUUUGGCACUAAAAAAAACCAAGAUGCUUUGAUUAUGAGAUUGCCUGAUUUCUCCUUGGCUCUUCAUUGUUUUCAAAUUGGAAUAUGAAGAUUCAAGAAUCCAAACUCAGCUCUUGAAUUCUGUGCUGAAUGAAACUAGAGAACAAGGGAAUUGUGCAGGGUAUUUAUGUGCACAUAGACACAUGCAUUGUGCUAGUUCUUCAAUCUAUGUGAUAGUUACUAGGGGGAGGAAAUGGUGUACCAUUUGCUUACACUAUAUUGAAUUUUCUGACCAUGAUGAACUACAUGAUGCAGAGUGGAGAUGUGUACAUUUCCAUAAUGUCCCCGAGAACCUUUAUUGUGAACGUGUCAAGCUAAACAUUGAUCUGGCUACUAAUGAGCUGAUUCUGAGUGAUGCACCUAAUGAAGCUAUUCUGGUAAAGAUUAAUAAUAAGAUUCCGGGGCUUGGCUUGCAGUUGGAUGCUUCCGAACUCAAUUUACUGUAUAAGGACAAGUAAGCACUUUCAUGUUACAAGACAUGUUCUAUUUAAAUUCACAUUUCCUAAAGUGAAGCCAAUUCAGCACCCACCUUGUUCUAUAAUGCGGAGGUGCCUGAUUCAUAUGAGCAUCUUCUUCUUGAUUUCAUUGAUGGAGACAACCAUCUCUUCAUGAGGAGCGAUGAGCUUGCUGCUGCAUGGAAUAUUCUAACAACAACUCCACAGGAGAUAGACAAGAAACGUACGACACCAGAACUCUGUGAACUGGGAGGUAGAGGUCCAAUUGGACCAUAUUAUCUUUAUGCAAAAUAUCAGGUUCGGUGGGUUGGUAGACGACCGAAGCUUGUUGAAGGCUUCGAAUCUGAUGUUUGAGAACAACUACAUGCAUGAUAGGCAGUAUGAAAUAGUCAUUCCGUCUCCAGGACCACGUGAAAUAAAUAACUGUAUAUAUGUUUAGCGUGUAAAAUUACUCUGAUUUACUGAAAUGUUCAACUAACAUGUUCCCUGUUUGAUUUUCUGUUACCACAGUCCAGCUGCCUUAACUAGCAAAAUAAUGGCCUGCUGAGGGUGAUUGAUCAAGCUUCUUAUCGGAGCUUCAAAUCACCAUACAAUCACGGAGAAAAGCUUUGGAGACCCCCAUCAAUUUCUUUUUCCUUACAAUUUCCAAAGUAAGAUUCAGUUCUAUGUUCUUGACAAACAAUGAACUUCAAUCACACGCUUCUGUAUUAUACAAUAUCAUGACAUGCUCAACUGUCAGAACUUGAGUUGUGUUUUAUACAUUAACCUUUGAUACCAUGCUGUUGUGCAUCAGUAGCACAAUCUACUUUCCUGUCAAUAAAGUUGAAUGCCAGUGAUCAUGGAGCUCUGGAUUUGCCAGCCUAGCUUGGCCCAUAAUAAAGAUAUUUCUGUGAACACAGCUUAUCUAUUGAUGGAACUUGAUGUUUAAAAUUUCAGCAAGAAUAAUGUGAAUUCAGGGCCCACCUGAUAUCGAAGGUAUCUUAUUUGUGCAUUAAGUUUGGUUGACUCCACAGAAAACCUAGUUCACUGACUCUAGUUUAAACUUGGCUAAAUAUUUAUUACAGCUCUGGCUAGUUAGGUAGGUAUUACUACAUGAAUCCAAAGUUCACCAUCCAUUGCCCAGGUGAAUACAAAGCUCAGUCAUAGUGAUCCAACUCCCCUAUUUUGAAUCUAUUCAUGGCAGAUAAUCUCCAUCCACUAUAAUGUCUUCAUCUUACAAAAGCAGUUGGAAGCUGCUUAUAAGGGAAGUUGCUUUUACCCCACAAUUCUGUGGUUGUUAAGUAGCUUGUACAGCAGGCCGAACAGACUUUCAGCUUUGCUUCGUUGAAACAUGAAAGAAGCUCGAGCCCAACUUGUCAUUUUGCCGCAAAUUACAUGUCAUUGUGAAGCUCCACUUGGAGGAUGACAGCUAUAAAUUGUACCUUAAACUAGUAUGAGAUCAUCCAUAUGACAUCACGAUGACAAUAUAUAAUUGAUUAAUUGCUACAGUGAUAGAUUCUUGCUAUGAACAUAGAACAAGUAAUGAAGGAAAACAGACGGCAGAGAAAUAAGUUUUGUAAGGUGUCAAUUAAAUAAAGGCCAUAAAAGUAUACCAAAAGGACCCACCAAAGUAUAUAUUCUCACAAAAAUGUCAGGCUGGCCCUCUAGGAAGACUCCACCAAAAUGACAAUAUGUCAUGGUGCUUGCAUCACCUUUAUUCGGUAUGCUACGCAGCAUCAUGGGCAGCAGCCAGUGACCUUAUUUGCCAUUAUUCUUUUCCAUCCAUAGUAUCCACUCCAUCUACAGCCAAUCUUUCCUGAAGAGAAGCGAGGACUCACUAUGGUUUUUAUCUGUUUUUGCAAGAAAUCAAAUCAAAAUUUUAUUACGCUUAUUGGUGGGGUAAUUUUUAAAUCAGCUUUUGUACAUUGAAACUAAAGUCUGCACCAAUCAAGUCUUAAACAAUUAUUUAUAUAUGGAGGGAUGCUUUCACAAUAUUCAAAUCAAAAAUGAAAAGCCAAGCCCAUUUCUGUAAAAGACUUCUUGUGAUACCUGCACUACGUCAUGGUGACUCUCUACAAAGAGUCAACUAACACGGUUUCUAGAGUGGUCAUAGUGCAAGUCUAGUAUGUGGUUUGGUUUAACACAUCAAACUACAAUAACCCAUACUAGACAGUAAGAGAUACUCUAUGGUCUACUGCUUAUGCUUCUCUCUUUGAUAUUUGUUUUUGUUGGAGGAAAUAGCUAGCUAGCUUGGCAUGGAGAGGGAAGCAAAGAAGAGGAAGACGGAGUAUAUUGAAGAAGAAGAAAAGGGAAAGGAAGAUGAUGAUGAUGAAGAAGAAGAAGAGAAGAUGGAGAAGUUCUUUGCUUUGCUGAGAAGUACAAAACAAAUGCAUGAUCAAAUAAGAAGAAACUCAAAUAGAAUAUUUAAAGAGAAAGAGGAGAUCAGGAAAGUUGGAGAAGAGAAGGUUAGCGUGGCUUGGAAUCCAUCAUUUCAGCCAGAAGAUUUCUUGGAGGAUGGCAAGGAUAGUCAGGCAGCAGCCGGUCCUUCCAAGAGAAAGGAAGAAGAGAAAAAGGACGAGGGAGAAGAAGGCACUGGCUUGGACCUAAAGCUUUCUUUGUAGAGGGUAACUGCCUCCCCCACAACUCCCUUCUCUCUUCUUGCAUGUUGAGAAGCUUUUACAAUGAAAGGUCGACCACUACAAUAAGUAACAGCAAUACUGGCCAGCAUUUCCAUGAUGUGCUGAGUUUAUCGAAAACAUAUUAUGUAUCCUGACGUCUCUCUGGCUUGUUUGGGUCUAUAUGAGGUAAUUAAGAUUUUUUUUUUAAGUUGAUGUUAUUACACAAGUGAUGGGAUAACCUAGCUCAGCGGACACACCAAGUCAUGUAAACACUUGUUCGACGAGAACUCAUGCUGUAUUUUUUAAAUAGGUUUGAGACAGUUUAGGAGAAUAUACCUUCUUUCUCCAACAAGAACAAGAACAACAAAUCCUCGUUUCCAGAACACGGUCAACUUUUAAUCGAACUAGGUAAUUUUACAAGAACAGCAAAGCCUAGUUUCAGACAUAGUUGAGUUUUAGAUUCUUUUGACUAGGUAAUCGAACUUUAUUCUCUAUGAAUUUGGUCCUAAAAAAAUAUGUUGUCGCUAUCCUAUCCUAUCUUUUCUUUUUGUUUUUGGAUUGCAUGCUAUAACGGGUCCGAAGUGUCGGAGAUUAUUUUGGAGUUAAAAUGACAUGGUAAUUUUACAAAAAGAUUUUUUAGCUAUGCUGAAAAAAUUAAAAGAACAACGCCCUAAAAUUAACAUUGGCAAUAAGUGACAACCUGCUUUCCAUGUUCAUUGUGAGCGUAAAACUACACUUUCAUCUCUAAAUUUUUAAUUUAUUUAUAUUUGAUCCUUUUUUGUUUAGGAUUUCUUCUUUAUUUUUUUUAAUAUUUUAGUUCCUUGAUCUUAAGAAAUGAGAGAUAAAGUCAUAAAAAAUUUAAAAAAGCUCUGGCUAAAUUCCAACCACCAAUAACUUUAAUUUUGAUGUCUAUAGAUUAUGUUUUAAAAGAAAAAUUCAAUUGAGAUGAUUUCUAUAGAUUACUGGAAAAUAUUGAAAGAGAAUAAAAAAAUAUAUAUCAUUGAGAAGAAUAUACCAGAACAUCUAGGAGAUUUGAAAAAUUUAACAGUAUAUUUUCGAUUGAUGAAGGCUUUAUUGGCAAAGAAAAAUUCAAUUUAAGGAGAAAAAAAUCAAAAUUGAAUGUUUAAGGACUCAAUUGGAAUUUUUCAAGGUUCAAUUGAAUUUAUUGAGAGCUUAAUUGUAAGAAAAUUGAUUUUUGAAGUCAAUCUAGGCUUUAAUUAACAGAUAUUAAAGUUUAGGGGUUGGAUUGUAAUUUUUAAGAGUUAAUUUGAUCAAAUUAGGGCCUUAAUUGCAUAAAUAUUAAAGUUUAAUAGACAAUUAGGGACUUGAUUGAAGAAAUUUAAAUUCAAGGACCAAACUAAAAAGACACAUAAUGUAGGGGCUAAAUUGGACUAAAUCAGGGGCCAAAUAGAAAAAAUUAAAAGUUUGUUGGUUAGUUGAAGGUCAAAAUACAUAAAUUCAGAAGAUGGUUGGAAUACACAAAUUCAGAACUAAGGACUUAAAUGAAAAUAACGGUAAACUUUGAGGCUGAUAAUUGAGUUUAACAAGGGUGAAAUUGCAUGAAAUUAAAAGUCUUGAGGCAAUUACAAGUAAAAGCAAUUGGAAGAACAAAGACUUGAUUGAAUUUUGUCAAAUCCCAAAUAAAUAAUCCUAAAUAACGUGUCAUUCAAAUUUAAUGAAGUGAAGGUGAAUGACACGUCAUUCGUCAGUUUGCACCUUUAUUUUGAUAGUUUUGACUGAUUGAGUUAACAACUUCAAACGUAUUAAUAUGGAGUUUCAGGCAUUCAAAUUGAGUAAGGUUGGAUCCAAAUGAAAGAUAUUCUUCCCCUCUACGAGGAUUAGGUGGUUUCAGGCGACGAUGACAUCAGAAUUGCUCUAACGAGGCCUCGAAAGUAGGCAACUCAAUCAGCCCCAACAAUGUAACUAUCAUGCAAAAAACAAUUUGAUUUUUGUGUGUUUACAUGUUUACACACAAAAGCUCCUCAAUGGGUUCUUAUCAAGAGUUCACAACACUCAUCUCAAGAUCAAGAGGUCAUAAAUUGAUUCAAGACCUCUCAAAACCCUAAUAAAACCCUAUAAAUACCCAUUCAAGAUCAAGAAAAGGGACUAAAGAAAAGGAAAAGAAAAGAAGAGAUAAGAAAAAGAAGAGAAAUAUAAGGGUAGAGGUCCAAAAGUCUAAACAAAAGUUUAGACUAGUUGUAAGAGGCAAAAGUUUCCUUAAUCUUUAUAAGUUUGUAAGAGGCAAAAGUUUCUAAAAGAAAGCUAAGAGAGAGUAGUUGUUCUAGGUAUAUAUUGCAGGCCCAAAAACAGGUAUUUUAUGGCCUGCCUUUUUUUUUUUAUUAUUAUUUGUUUUGGUUUACAUUUAUAGUUACAAUCAUAGAAAAAAGGUUUAAACUGUUUAACAAAUGGUGUUGCAUUCACCUCUCUGUUGCUGUGAUUUCUAUUUAAUGAAGUUAUUUUAUAUUUUUGAUGUAUUAAAUUUGACUUUUAUGUUCUCUUUUUGAUAUAUAAAUGUUGUUUUAGCUUUGGUUUAACCUAAGCUAUACAUGUUAAAGUAAGAGUGUUUAUCCUUAGUUUGUUAAGCUUGUUUAUGCACAAAAUGAGUUUAAAAAAUCAAUUUUGAAUCCAUGUUGCAUGAACAUGUAGGUUGUUUGAGGUUAUUAGUUUUUGGAUUUGGUAUUUCAUACUUGAUUUUGAUGUUUUUUUCUGUUAGUUUUAGAUUCAAACAUGUUUGUGUAUGAUAUUGUGACUUGUUGGAAUAAAAAAAGCAUGUUUUAGAGGAAAAAAAGGCUCAUUUCUAGGCUUGACAAUGGCUACCUCAUGGUUGGGUUUUUUGUUGGGUUCUAGGCAAUGUUUUUCGUAUUAUUAAGAAGAACAUUGUCUUAAACCCUUGAUUUGGAUCAAAAUUUUGAUCCAUUUGUUUGUAGAGAAUCCUACCUUACGCAUGGUUAACCAAUAAUCUAGUAUUUAUUUGUAUUAACAACACAUUUAUAAUGAUUUUUAAUUUUAAGAUUUUGAUUUUGAACCAAAACCCAUUUUGACCAAAUCGUGAUGAUUUAAUCAUAAUUGAAGUGAAUGAACCUUUAAUUCUUGAUCCUUGAAUAAUUUACAACUUUUAUAUGCUUUUGAUUUUAUGAAAUCUGGUCUAAAUUUGAGUUCACGUUGUUGGGUUUGUUUCGAGUGUUCUUGGUGUUCUUCGUAUUCUUUAUUUUUUUUUGAUCCAUUUUGUUUAAGAAUUUUUGAAUUUUUAUGUUUUUUUGGGUGUUUAAUCUGUUUUUUUGCUUUAAUUUUAUUUUUGGGUUUUUUCUUCCGGGUCAAACUAGAAUUUUCUAUUCUGUUUAUGGGUGAAUAAAAAAUUUUAGGUCAACCCGGUCGGGUCGGGUAAAUAUUUUUUUUCUUGUAUAUGACUAAAAAUCCUAAAGUUAUUUAAGCAUUUUUUUUCUUAAAAACAUAUCUUAAAAUACCUUGACAUGUUUUUUUUUUAAAUAUUGGUUGGAUUUUAUAAUAAAUUUGUAAAAUUUCAAAGGAUUUUUAUCUACAUUUCAAAAAUACCAAAAAAUAUUAUUUUUUUAUUUUAAUAUGAGAGAUUAUGAACUUACAUGUAAGAUAUAUUUUUAAUAUUAAAUAAAAAAAUAAUUUUUUUUAUUGAUAUUAAAAUGGUUAGGUUUUUAAUUUGAUAAGAUAAGAAUUUUUUUAUUAGACUUUUUCUUAAAUCUUAAAUAUAUCAUCAAUUAAAAAAAACAAUUUUUCCAUAUUAAUAAAUAAUAUAAUUUAUCUCAAAUAAAACGUAUUAGGAGUGACCCGUUCUGUCAAAUUUGUGUUAGAGCGUGUUUGACAGUGUGGUUGCGGGUGCUUUUCAAAUAACUUAUCAUUGGAAAUUUGGAAGAACGUUGUGGAAGGCAAAUUGAGGUCCAGGCUUUACAGCUUCCAAAACAUACAAAUCAUAUUAAAUUUUAAUAUAAAAAAAAAAUUUCAAAUUUUUUGGGAUCGCAGCCGCAGCCGCGUCCCCAAACAAGCUCUUAAUAUGGAUGGUAUUGACUGUACUGAACGGUAGGCUGUAACUCUAUGGGCAGCAUCAUUGGAAAUUUGGAAGAACGUUGUGGAAGGCAAAUUGAGGUCCAGGCUUUACAGCUUGUCAAACCUUUCAUAAUAAAUUUAUUCCAGGCAAAGUAAAAAACUUUUCUUUAAACAUCUAGGAGGAGAAUUUUACCUUGCCAAGCUGCACAGUUGCCUCUAAUAAUUUAUGCCAUUUGCUUAAAGCAGCCUUUUUUUUUUUGUCGGGGCAGCCUUGCAUUCACCUCUAAUAAUUGAUGCCAUUUGCCUAAAGCAACUUUUUUAUUUUUAUUUUUUUGUGUGUUGGAGCAGCCAGGAUGAUGCUCAAUGUUUCUUAGAUACUUGUCUCAUCACAAGAUUAUCUGCUUAAAAAAUCAUGAUUCUCAUUCAUUAGCAUUCCCGAAGAUAAAAUCUUUUGAGGAUCGAAGUACUUAGCCACUCACAGGUACAGUUUCAGAUAUCAUAGAGCUCAACAGAUACAGCAAAGACAGUAAUCAAAGUUGACAGAAAAUUUUACAAGGAAAAAGAUCCUUGACUGAUGCAAUCCUAUGACGUAUAUGAUCAACCACUAGUUAAUAGCAACUUUGAAAGAAAGCAUCCUACUUGAUAACUUCGGUCACCUUCACCGGACGAAAUUAAAAGGCAUCGCAAACUCCAGCAGGUCUAUGUCCCCACUAGAAUGACAUAUUUUCUGUGAUUUUGUACCGGGUUUUAUAAAUAUACAACUAAAGUCACCCUGCAGUGAGAAGGCAGGGGCUGAUCAACCACUAAUAUAUAGUGUGUGUCAUAAAAGUUUGGUGAAACAGCACUUACAAAGCAAAUGGAGGAGGAAAGAAAAAACAAGCUGAGUACUUUUGCUUCAGAGUGGUAUUUUCAAGAUGCAUGGAACUUAAGAUGCAGUAGAGUUAGAGCAGUGUGUGUUAAAUACAAGGAUAGAUCAUCUCUUAAGAAGGAACUUCAUUGAGAACACUUAGUGAUAAGGUUCAGGAAUCCAAACUCUUCACAUUCAGGGUGCACACAGCUGAACUCUUGAGUUCUGUGCUGAAUGAAACUAGAGAACAAGGGAAUUGUGCGGGGUAUUUAUAUGCCCAAAUUAAGACACGCAUUGUGUUAGUUACUAGGGGGAGGAAAUGGUGUACCAUUUGCUUACGCUAUAUUGAAUUUUCUGACCAUGAUGAAACUACAUGAUGCAGAGUGGAGACACGUGUACAUUUCCAUAAAGUCCCCGAGAACCUUUAUUGUGAACGUGUCAAGCUAAACAUUGAUCUGGCUACUAAUGAGCUGAUUCUGAGUGAUGCACCUAAUGAAGCUAUUCUGGUAAAGAUUAAUAAUAAGAUUCCGGGACGUGGCUUGCAGUUGGAUGCUUCCGAACUCAAUUUGCUGUAUAAGGACAAGUAAGCACUUUCAUGUUACAAGACAUGUUCUAUUUAAAUUCACAUUUCCUAAAGUGAAGCCAAUUCAGCACCC
rnacentral:lncRNA from 1 species